GGCCGCCGGCGGUGAGGUGGUCGCGAGGCGACGUCCGGCACGGCGGGACGAGCAUUACGUUGCCGAAGCCUCGGAGCGUUCCUGUGGAGGCGCAGUGCGAGAUGGGAGGUUUUCCGAGCUGCUGGUUCAUCUGAGGACGUACAACCUGAUACCGGUAUGUGUGUGGCCUGCGCUUGUUUAAAAAAGAUUUUGCAUUCCAUUUAGCACGGAGCAGUGUUCUUAGCUCUCAGUGUACACUUGCAGUAGAUGGCAGCCUUGUAGCAUGUCUGCAAGAAGCUUUUCAAUAAUGUUUCUUUUCUUAAAGCUGCUUCCUUUAAUUUCUGUCUCAGGUAAGUCUUGUCAGGGACAAGCAUGCACUGAGCUGCGGCUGUCCAGUCAGACAAACUCAGAGGUGCUUGAAGACUUCUCUGAAGGCUGUGAUGACCCUAAGAAGAGAGCACUGAGGAUUGUCUGCUUAUUCUGA
rnacentral:lncRNA from 1 species